AAAGUGCUCAUCACGCGCAUUAUAAAUGUAUCAUGCACGCGAUGUAACUCAUAUAUCUCUAUCGCGCACUCGAUGCCACCCGAUGGUGGACGUGAUUAUUCCAGUAGUUGCAUUAAAAAACACUCUUUUUUACCAGAAUUUUCACUAAGUCUCAUUCUUCCAUACUUGACUAUUUUUUACUCAUUCUUGGAUCUUUCUU
rnacentral:lncRNA from 1 species